GGCUCGGGAGUGCACCAGUGGGAAGGUGCGCAGGAAUAGGGCCCCACACCCGUUUCGCAUGCGGCCGGCGGCUGAGGCCCGACAGCCCGCCCG
rnacentral:ncRNA from 1 species